ensembl:lncRNA
GAAAUAUGGAGACGAGAGUUUAGGAUUUCAGCUUUUAUUUCCUGGUAUUUACAUCUAGAUGUAUUAAACGACAUAAAGCAUAGAACCUUUGUAUCAGACAACCCAAUUUUUAGGUGAGCAAAAGUAUAGGAACAGAUAAGAUUAAGAUACAUUUCUGCUCUGAAGCCUUCUUCGUACUGUGAAUUGUGAUAGCUUCACCCCUGCUCUAUGGAGGUUGUUGGUUGUUUUAGGGGUUUUCUUCACAGCUCUCACAAUGUUUGUGUCAUCAGCUGUUGUUGCUUUCAAUGGCUGACCCAUUCGGUGUUUGGUUGCUCAGUACACCAGUGGUUUUUUUCUUUUUCAGGAAAUUCCAAGUUGUUGUAUUGGCUAUGCCCAAUGUUUGCGCAGUGCUUUUGACUGAUUUUCCCUCUUUUCUCAGCAUCAAAAUGGCUUGCUUUUCUCCCAUAGACAGCUCUCUGAUCUUUAUGUUGGUUUAUCCUUUUUAACAACAAAUGCAGGUGAAAUUGAAGGCGAAAACCAAGAGUAGAUGUUCAGAGCUAUUCAUUGUUUAAACAGUAAAUCUAACAGGACACACCUGGGUAACAUGAAGCACCUGUCAGUCGCACGUUCCAAUAUUUUUGCUCGCCUACAAAUUGGGUGGUCUGAUAGAAAAUGUGCUAUGUUCUAUGUUUAACACGUCUACAUAUAAACACCAGGAAAUAAAAGCUGAAAUUUUAAAAACUCCUUCUCAUUUCCAUCUUUUGAUCUCAAACCCAAAUGUCUUCUGUCACUCAGCAAAAACAUAUGAAUUGGCCUUGCCGUUCCAAUAGUUUCGGAGGGGACUGUACGCACGUCGGCUUCUCUUCACCGGUAGUUGACUUUCACAAACGACACAAUACUAUGGUCCACCCUGAUACGUAUGGGUUACUUUCAGAAAUCACACACAUUGAAAACUACUGUACGUUGUGUAAUUGAAGGUGUUUUGGUAUUAUAUGAAUAUCUGCUAGGCCAGAUUGAAUAAAUGAAAUACAUUUUGUAAUAAUUACAAAAAUGAAGAAGUCCGUGGCUAAAGCUAGCUAACUAGGAUUAGUUUGGAAUUACAUAAGAAUGCGGUGAAGGAGUAUGUUGUAUAACGAAUAAAACAUUUUCAGCAAAAUAAUCAAAAACGGGUUUGUGUGAUGCGGCCCGUAGCAAAGCAGAGUUGCUCUUACUAUCCCAAAAAUUGAAGUGUUUUCUCCCUCUUAUACCACAGCAAGUUUUUUUUCAAUUUAUUAAACAUGACACUUCAUACCGUUAUCCUUUUAUUGUUACAUUUAAUGUUAUGGACUGUGCAUGGUGUACGAGUUAGUUCCUGUUAUCGCUUACGUUAUGGCAGCUAUACAAACUUGUUCCCUCACCUGCCUCUUUUUUUCUUCUUUUUUUUUUUGGCCGCUGUCUUCAAGUUGGUAAGGCAGAAAGUGCAUGCCAUGUUCAUCAUGUUACAGAGAAAUCAGAAUGCAUUGAAGACUGUCCUAUGUGGAACACUUACUGACUGUUACAAAUCUUACAUAGGUUUAGAUAAUGCGAGUGUCGAAACAAUACCGUAUUCAUGUGAGCACAUUAAUAUAAACCUGCGAUUUGAAUUACAUAGAAAAUUAACACUUUUUAACCAGUCCUAAUUGAGAAUUUGAUAGUGCUGUGGUAUAACUAAACAUAAAUAGCUAGACAAUAGCACUAUAAUGGAG